UACGUAGGGUGCAAGCGUUGUCCGGAAUUAUUGGGCGUAAAGAGCUCGUAGGCGGUUUGUCGCGUCUGCUGUGAAAACUUGGGGCUUAACCCUGAGCUUGCGGUCGAUACGGGCAUGACUGGAGUUCGGCAGGGGGAGACUGGAAUUCCUGGUGUAGCGGUGAAAUGCGCAGAUAUCAGGAGGAACACCGGUGGCGAAGGCGGGGUCUCUGGGCCGAUACUGACGCUGAGGAGCGAAAGCAUGGGUAGCGAACAGG
rnacentral:rRNA from 1 species